AUACAGAGGGUGCAAGCGUUAAUCGGAAUUACUGGGCGUAAAGGGUGCGUAGGUUGUUAUUUAAGUUAGGUGUGAAAUUUCUGGGCUUAACCUGGAAAGGUCAUCUAAAACUGGGUAACUAGAGUAUAGUAGAGGGAAGGGGAAUUUCCGGUGUAGCAGUGAAAUGCGUAGAUAUCGGAAGGAACAUCAGUGGCGAAGGCGCCUUCCUGGGCUAAUACUGACACUGAGGCACGAAAGCGUGGGUAGCGAACAGGAUUAGAAACCCUAGUAGUCC
rnacentral:rRNA from 1 species